GACGAACGCUGGCGGCGUGCUUAACACAUGCAAGUCGAACGGAAAGGCCCUGCUUUUGUGGGGUGCUCGAGUGGCGAACGGGUGAGUAACACGUGAGUAACCUGCCCUUGACUUUGGGAUAACUUCAGGAAACUGGGGCUAAUACCGGAUAUGAGCUCCUGCUGCAUGGUGGGGGUUGGAAAGUUUCGGCGGUUUGGGAUGGACUCGCGGCUUAUCAGCUUGUUGGUGGGGUAGUGGCUUACCAAGGCUUUGACGGGUAGCCGGCCUGAGAGGGUGACCGGCCACAUUGGGACUGAGGUACGGCCCAGACUCCUACGGGAGGCAGGAGUGGGGAAUAUUGCACAAUGGGCGGAAGCCUGAUGCAGCAACGCCGCGUGCGGGAUGACGGCCUUCGGGUUGUAAACCGCUUUCGCCUGUGACGAAGCGUGAGUGACGGUAAUGGGUAAAGAAGCACCGGCUAACUACGUG
rnacentral:rRNA from 1 species